AAGUCGAGCGGCAAGGGUAGCAAUACCCCCUAGAGCGGCGGACUGGUGAGUAACGCGUGGGUGACCUACCCUUAGGUUGGGGAUAGCCAUUAGAAAUAGUGGGUAAUACCGAAUAUGGUUGUUUUGCUAUGGCAGGACAAAGAAAGGAGCCUUGGCUCCGCCUGAGGAUGGGCCCGCGUCCCAUUAGGUAGUUGGUGAGGUAAAGGCCCACCAAGCCCGAGAUGGGUAGCCGGCCUGAGAGGGUGAACGGCCACACUGGGACUGAGAUACGGCCCAGACUCCUACGGGAGGCAGCAGCUAAGAAUAUUCCGCAAUGGACGAAAGUCUGACGGAGCGACGCCGCGUGUAUGAAGAAGGCCGAAAGGUUGUAAAGUACUUUUCUUGCUGAAGAAUAAGCGGGGGAGGGAAUGCCCGCGCGAUGACGGUAAGCAAGGAAUAAGCCCCGGCUAAUUACGUGCCAGCAGCCGCGGUAACACGUAAGGGGCGAGCGUUGUUCGGAAUUAUUGGGCGUAAAGGGCGCGUAGGCGGUUACGCAAGUCUGGCGUGAAAGGCAGGGGCUUAACUCCUGGACUGCGCUGGAAACUGCGUAACUUGAGUCAUGGAGGGGGAGUUGGAAUUCCUGGUGUAGGGGUGAAAUCUGUAGAUAUCAGGAAGAACACCGGUGGCGAAGGCGAACUUCUAGCCAAUGACUGACGCUAAGCGCGAAAG
rnacentral:rRNA from 1 species